UACGUAGGGUGCAAGCGUUAAUCGGAAUUACUGGGCGUAAAGCGUGCGCAGGCGGUUUUGUAAGUUUGUCGUGAAAGCCCCGGGCUCAACCUGGGAAUUGCGAUGAAGACUGCAAGGCUUGAAUCUGGCAGAGGGGGGUAGAAUUCCACGGUGUAGCAGUGAAAUGCGUAGAGAUGUGGAGGAACACCGAUGGCGAAGGCAGCCCCCUGGGUCAAGAUUGACGCUCAUGCACGAAAGCGUGGGGAGCAAACAGG
rnacentral:rRNA from 1 species